UGAGGGAUAUUGGUCAAUGGGCGCAAGCCUGAACCAGCGACGCCGCGUGGGUGAAGAAGGUCUUCGGAUCGUAAAGCCCUUUUCCCACUGAAGAGGAAGGACGGUAGGUGGGGAAGAAGUCUCGGCUAACUACGUGCAAGCAGCCGCGGUAAAACGUAGGAGACAAGCGUUAUCCGGAGUUACUGGGCGAAAAGGGCGUGCAGGUGGCGUCUUAAGUCUGUUGUGAAAGCGCCUGGCUUAACCGGGCGAGGCCAAUGGAGACUGAGAGGCUGGAGGACGGCGGAGGGGUGUGGAAUUCCGGGUGUAGUGUUGAAAUGCGUAGAGAUCCGGAGUAACACCGGAGGCGAAGGCGGCACUCUAAGCCGUACCUGACACUGAG
rnacentral:rRNA from 1 species